GUCGACGAACCAUCCUGAUGAUUGAAGCUUGCUUCAUGAUUCAGACCUUGGUGAGUGGCGGACGGGUGAGUAACACGUGGGUAACCUGCCCAGAAGUGGGGGAUAACAUUUGGAAACAAGUGCUAAUACCGCAUAACAACUUAGAUCACAUGAUCUUUGUUUAAAAGAUGGUUUUGCUAUCUCUUCUGGAUGGACCCGCGGCGUAUUAGCUAGUUGGUGAGGUAAUAGCUCACCAAGGCGAUGAUACGUAGCCGACCUGAGAGGGUAAUCGGCCACAUUGGGACUGAGACACGGCCCAAACUCCUACGGGAGGCAGCAGUAGGGAAUCUUCCACAAUGGACGAAAGUCUGAUGGAGCAAUGCCGCGUGAGUGAAGAAGGUUUUCGGAUCGUAAAACUCUGUUGUUGAAGAAGAAUAUAUGUGAGAGUAACUGUUCACGUACUGACGGUAUUCAACCAGAAAGCCACGGCUAACUACGUGCCAGCAGCCGCGGUAAUACGUAGGUGGCAAGCGUUGUCCGGAUUUAUUGGGCGUAAAGAGAAUGUAGGCGGUUUAUUAAGUUUGAAGUGAAAGCCCUCGGCUCAACCGAGGAAGUGCUUCGAAAACUGGUAAACUUGAG
rnacentral:rRNA from 2 species